AGUAACGCGUAGGUAACCUGCCUUGUAGCGGGGGAUAACUAUUGGAAACGAUAGCUAAUACCGCAUAACAAUGGAUGACCCAUGUCAUUUAUUUGAAAGGGGCAAAUGCUCCACUACAAGAUGGACCUGCGUUGUAUUAGCUAGUAGGUGAGGUAACGGCUCACCUAGGCGACGAUACGUAGCCGACCUGAGAGGGUGAUCGGCCACACUGGGACUGAGACACGGCCCAG
rnacentral:rRNA from 1 species